rnacentral:rRNA from 1 species
GACGAACGCUGGCGGCGUGCCUAAUACAUGCAAGUAGAACGCUGAAGGAGGAGCUUGCUUCUCUGGAUGAGUUGCGAACGGGUGAGUAACGCGUAGGUAACCUGCCUGGUAGCGGGGGAUAACUAUUGGAAACGAUAGCUAAUACCGCAUAAGAGUAGAUGUUGCAUGACAUUUGCUUAAAAGGUGCAAUUGCAUCACUACCAGAUGGACCUGCGUUGUAUUAGCUAGUUGGUGGGGUAACGGCUCACCAAGGCGACGAUACAUAGCCGACCUGAGAGGGGGAUCGGCCACACUGGGACUGAGACACGGCCCAGACUCCUACGGGAGGCAGCAGUAGGGAAUCUUCGGCAAUGGACGGAAGUCUGACCGAGCAACGCCGCGUGAGUGAAGAAGGUUUUCGGAUCGUAAAGCUCUGUUGUAAGAGAGGAACGAGUGUGAGAGUGGAAAGUUCACACUGUGACGGUAUCUUACCAGAAAGGGACGGCUAACUACGUG